AUUGAACGCUGGCGGCAGGCCUAACACAUGCAAGUCGAGCGGCAGCGACUUAACUGAACCUUCGGGGAACGUUAAGGGCGGCGAGCGGCGGACGGGUGAGUAAUGCCUGGGAAUAUGCCCUGAUGUGGGGGAUAACUAUUGGAAACGAUAGCUAAUACCGCAUAAUCUCUUCGGAGCAAAGAGGGGGACCUUCGGGCCUCUCGCGUCAGGAUUAGCCCAGGUGGGAUUAGCUUGUUGGUGAGGUAAUGGCUCACCAAGGCAACGAUCCCUAGCUGGUCUGAGAGGAUGAUCAGCCACACUGGAACUGAGACACGGUCCAGACUCCUACGGGAGGCAGCAGUGGGGAAUAUUGCACAAUGGGGGAAACCCUGAUGCAGCCAUGCCGCGUGUGUGAAGAAGGCCUUCGGGUUGUAAAGCACUUUCAGUAGGGAGGAAGGUAGUGUAGUUAACACCUGCAUUAUUUGACGUUACCUACAGAAGAAGCACCGGCUAACUCCGUGCCAGCAGCCGCGGUAAUACGGAGGGUGCGAGCGUUAAUCGGAAUUACUGGGCGUAAAGCGCAUGCAGGCGGCCUGUUAAGUCAGAUGUGAAAGCCCGGGGCUUAACCUCGGAAUUGCAUUUGAAACUGGCAGGCUAGAGUCUUGUAGAGGGGGGUAGAAUUUCAGGUGUAGCGGUGAAAUGCGUAGAGAUCUGAAGGAAUACCAGUGGCGAAGCGGCCCCCCGGACAAAGACUGACGCUCAGAUGCGAAAGCGUGGGGAGCAAACAGG
rnacentral:rRNA from 1 species